rnacentral:lncRNA from 1 species
AUUUCGCAUACUUCUUCUCUUCUCAAUCUGUUAAAAGACUUCACCUUUUUAGCACUGAGAAGCUCAAGAGUGACGAUCUUUCUCAUCUGUCUCCAGUAUUCUCCAUAAGGUGCUAGAAAAAUAUUGGUAUUGUUAUACAUAACAAUUCUAGACGUGAAUAUAUCUGGUCGAGAUGCAAAGUUUGCAUCAUGAGUCUUAAGAACCUCUUUUGCAGCAUCAGAUGAAGAGACGAUAAUAUGUGGAAUCUGACCCAAUUUUAAGUGCAUAAACGGACCAUGCUUCUUGGCUAGAUCUCGAAAGACUCGAGGAAUGUGGUCGUCGCCUGAAAGAAGUAUGUUGUGAAGAUUGCCAAUGAUGGGAAGCUUGGUUGGUCCUGGUGGUAAUCUCUUGUAGUUUUUUGUCUUCACUAGAAUGAACAUCACCAAAGAUAGGAAUGAAGUAAAGAAUAUUAAAGGCCAUGAUGGGAAUUGAAUGCCCAUUGUAGCUUUAAUUCCAAAUUAAUUGUUAAAUUGGAAUUGAAUUAUUUGUGUCUAUGAAUCUCACUUGCUAUUUAUAUAAGAACUGUCACCUUAAUUUUCAACACCCAAUUUUCAAUUCCCAAUUCCAUAAUUCUGAUCAAUUCCCAAUAUAAUUCUCAAUUCCCAAUUACCAAUUCCCAAUUAAUCAAGUGUGGUCAACAUACACUUUUCUAUCAACAUCAAUUCCCAAUUCCCUACACUUAGCAUGUUAUUCAAAUAAAUAUUGUUAGGGUUUGUUAAUUUAAUGUUGUUAAUCAAUAUUAUAUUAAUUUUAUAGAAUAGUUUUCAGGUGAGUCACUCUUAAGUGAUGUAACAUCUCGUAAAUUUAUAGAUUAUUAUUGUAAUUUUUCCCUCUAGUUUAUUAUUUUAAACAAUUAGUUGAAAGGUAUUAUAGAUAGUUUAUAAGCUAGGUUCAAAAACAUAAUUUUUAUAAAACAUAAGACGCAGAAACGAUAAAUUAAUCCUGCAAGUAAAUAAAAAUGGGUAUAAGUUUUGCAUUCAAAACUCGGAUGUCUUUAACCUAACAAAUUAAAUAUUUCAUUAUUAUUUUUAAACUCUUGUCUCUUUUUUACUAUAUAUAUUCAGUUGAACUCGUCCAUCCAGACGCAUAGGGUUCUAAACCCCCUCUUGGGAAUGACUUUCACCAUUCCCCAUACUCGAUCAUGUGCGGAACACAAUCUCGACCAGACUCGAAUCAUCUCGGAGGUGUGAUCCAACCAAACUGCCCCGUCGGGUCAUUCGCCUCGCCAGGCUUAGACUCGAGUUUCCCCCAUGGAUUCGCCCAUUCCAACUGCUUGAAGGGCAUUCCUAAUUAUCUAUAUUUAUAAUUAAGUUGAGGUCCCCCAUGGGUUCACCCGACCAGAUUCUCUCGUCGGGGCACAUUCAUUCAAACUCCCAUAGGGCACAAUUAUUUAGAUUCCCCAAAGGGACAAUAACACAGACUCCCCGAAGGGCACAAUAACUAAUCGGACUUCCCAAAGGGCACAAUAACUAAUCGGACUUCCCAAAGGGCACAAUAACUAAUCGGACUUCCCAAAGGGCAUAAUAGCAUAGACUCUCCAAAAGGUACAUUUAUUCUAACGUAUUUUUUCAGUUCGAUUCCUUGCCUUUUGUCAAACUUUUCGGUCUAUGACUACCUAAUGGGAUCACUUAAACCUACAUCCACAGUUAGGAUUUAAAAAAUUUGAGUCAGACGUGGUAUGUCCACUUGAUCUCUCUUAACCCGUGUGCAUUUGGAUUCGACCCAAUAGAGAUUGAGUCUAAAUCCCAAACGUGAACCAAGGUCUAUGCUAGACCCUAAUAUGAGCAGAAGGUCUCCCUGAGGACUCUUGAGCUCAACAUAAAUCCUUUCCCGACCUCACCUGUACACCCAAGACAUUCUCGAUCUGCCUCUAGCUGGCUCCCAGCUUUCUCGAUCAAUCACCCUUACCAGGUGCACUUGAGUUCAAAGUAGACCAUAAGGUGAACUAAAGGUCUCCCUAGGGACUCUUUAAUUUAUCUUAGGUGUCACCCCUAACCCAUGGUUGGUCCAAUUAACAAGGUUUAUCUAAACCUUUGGUCAAACCGUCACCAAAUCAAUUUGAUGUAAUUCUUUUUAAUUACAUCUAUUACAUUUUCACCCUUGUUUCUUUUUAAUUAAAUUUGCAAGUAUUACCAUAGUAGUCCAACUUUAAUUGAGUUACUCAAAUAUUAAAUGAAAGCAUAUAACUAGCUAUAACAUAUAACAAACUUUCCAUUUAAAUCUACUCUAAAAUCAAUACAAUUAUAUUUACCAUAGUGAUUCACUGGCCUUAAUUGAUUUACACAUUAAAUGUCAAAAUGGAAACACAUAAUAAACUUUUCAUUUAAAUCAAUUAUAGAAUGAAUACAAUUAUUAUUAUAGUAAUUCAUCUUAAAUGAGUUGUACAAAACCAAAAAAAGAAAAGAAAACAUAUAAAGUAAGUUUCAACAACCUUAAGUAAUUAGAACAACCAUAAAAUUUAUGAUAUCUUCAUCUUAUUCAAUCUCAUUAUAAAUAGUAAUAUUUCAUGAAAUAAAGUAAUCCAUGUAAACGAUAAUUAACCCCAAUCAAUUUUUACUAAUUAAAAUUUUAAGCAUAAAUGCAAAAUAUUUUUAAGUAGAAAUGACAUAUGUAAAAUACCCUUUUAUUUAUCUCUACACAAUUUACAUUUUAUUUAGCUCUACACAUAUAAAAUAUCAAUUUAAUCAGCCCAACUCGAUUUCAAUAUUUUAACAUGAAAAAUCUUAAAUCUUAGGAAACAUAGAAAAUCGAUUUCGUUGAACCUACCCUUAACAUAAAAAAAACGAGAUCGAAUUUAAAUGGAUAAUUUUUUAUAAAUAGAUGAAACUUGAUAAAAUCUUAAACAUAUAUAAAUAUCUCAACAAUUCUAUCACAAAUAUAUGCACAUUCAAACAUCAUCUUCAAACAUCAAACUUAAAAUCAUUUUCAUCAUUCACAAUACCUAGCUAAAUUAUGUAUUCGUAAAUAUGUAAUUCAUUUUAAUCUUAUUUGAUGAGUAAGAAUAUAUAAAUACGUAUUCAAAUCGAUUUUAUCAUAGACGUAUUCAUAUUUUGUGUUUAAUAAACACUCAUGCAUUCACAUUUUUAAACUUAAGUGAAACUUACAUACAAAUCCUAAUAUGAAAUAACAUUUUAUUUCUAAAUUUGAGAAUAAUAAUUCAAAGGUGAGAAGAAAUACGUACCUUCUUUCUUGAUUUUUUCUUCUUUCUCCUAAAUCCUUAAGAGUUUAGCUUAACCUCCAACAUACACUAAAGGUCUCGUUGAUUUCUUCUCCUACUUCUUUCUUUUAUAGUGUUUCCUAAGGGUUUCCCAUCCAUCAAUGAUUUUACCUUUUAAUUUAUCUUUAGAUUUUAAAAGUCACAUAAGGUAAAUCAGGAAUUAUUUCCUUCUUUUGUAAUUUUCUUUCUUUGAAUUCAUUCAUAGUUUAAUUGUUAUUUAAUUUGCAACUUAAUUGCAAGUUUUAAUUCAAAUUAUUUCAAAAACUUCCUUUUUACUUGAUUAGGAUCACCUAAUCAAGAUAUAUAUAUAUAUACCUCCACCUCUUCCUAUUCCUAACCCUAGUCAACUAGUGUGGUCAGCUCUAACUGAAUAUAUAGCUCAUUAAUUGAGUUUAAUCCAUCUAAUUUAAUUAACCCGCCAACUUAAUUAUUAUCGAUUCAACUUUGUAGUUAUAUAUGAUUCAAUAAAAAAAUAUAAUAAUAAAAAUGAUUGCUAUAACAAUUUUUUGAUGGAGAAAAUGAGGAAAUUUUUAGGCCAAAACCACACACAAUAUAUAUACUAGUAUUAAAUAUUUAAUUUGUAGGAAAUACAGGUAUCAAUAUGAGUGGAUAUUUCCUACAUAAAGUUCCUUUAACACAUUCAGUCAUGUCAAGCUCUUCUCCCGGCACACCAUCUGUCAUCUUCCAAUUGAAAUGAUAUAGAAUGGUAGUAAGAAAAAGUUCAACAUUAGCUAGGGCAAAUGUUAUACCAGGACAAAUUCUUUUUCCAGAACCAAAUGGAAUUAAAUCAAAGUGGGAUCCUUUGAAAUCUAUUGGAUUUCCCAUGAACCUCUCUGGUUUGAAUACUUCUGGAUUUUCCCAUUUGUUUGGAUCUCGUCCUAUCGCCCAAGCAUUCACAAGGAUGCUUGUCUUUUCUUCUACAUCAUAAUCAUUUAUUUGACAUUUCUCCCUACAUUCAUGAGGAGCGAGAAGUGGCACAGGUGGAUGGAGCCUCAAGGUUUCUUUGAUGACGUUUUGCAUGUAGCUCAUUUCCUUGCUAAAAGAAUUAUCAUAAUCAUCAGCUUCUGUACCGAUUAUUUUAAAGGUUUUUCUCACCUCAGAUGUCACUUUCUUCAUGGUUUCUGGAUUUUUCACCAACUCAGAUAUUACCCAUUCUAGUGUUGUGGAAGUUGAUUCUGUUCCCGCAAUGAAAAUGUCCUAAAAAUACCAAUUGAAAAAUGAUUUAUAGUGUUUCAAGGAAAUACGUACAUAUAGAUCGACUUUAAUUUUGAGUUAUAAAAAAUGAUCAACUUACCAACAUUAUCGCCUUCAAAUUACUCAUAGUAAAUUCAAAGCCAGAUUCAUUCUUCUUUUGAAUUUUGAGAAGAAUAUCAAGAAAAUCUUCAUCUUCAUCUGCUACCCCAUUUUUGUUAUUUUUUGAUUUCUCAAGAUGUUCAUCUACGACUGUAUUUAGAAUAUGAUCAUUUGUCCUAUACGUCUUUUCCGCUUUUUUCCUCAAACCAGUCAACCAAACGAUGAAUUUCUCCACAGCAGGAAAGUAAUUAGAAAUGUUGAAAUCAACUACAAGAUCAAUAGAUUCCUUCAUUGAAACCAGAAAUGCCUCCUUUUGUCUAAGGUUAUUGCCAAACCCAGCACGGCUGGCGAUGUUGUUGUUAAGAGAAAGAAACAUUUCACUUAGAUUAACUGGAGUACCGUUGGUUGCAGCUUUUGUAAGAACGUGCAUCAUUUCGCAUACUUCUUCUCUUCUCAAUCUGUUAAAAGACUUCACCUUUUUAGCACUGAGAAGCUCAAGAGUGACGAUCUUUCUCAUUUGCCUCCAGUAUUCUCCAUAAGGUGCUAGAAAAAUAUCGGUAUUGUUGUACAUAAUAAUUCUAGCCGUAAAUAUAUCUGGUCGAGAUGCAAAGUUUGUGUCAUGAAUCUUAAGGAACUCCUUUGCAACAUCUGAUGAAGAGACAAUGAUAUGUGGAAUCUGACCGAAUUGUAAGUGCAUGAACGGACCGUGCUUCUUGGCGAGAUCUCGGAAGACUCGAGGAAUGUGGUCGUCGCCUGAAAGAAAUAUGUUAUGAAGAUUGCCAAUGAUGGGAAGCUUAGUUGGUCCUGGUGGUAGUCUUUUGGUGUUUUUCAUCUUAAUUAGAAUGAAAAUCCCCAAUGGUAAGAACAAAGAAAAGACUAAUGACCAUGAUGGGAAUUGAAGCUCCAUUGCGCUUAUCUUUAAUUUGUGUGCAAUAUCAUCCAAUAUUUAUAAAAUAUUAGUGUUCCAAAAUUGUAAAAUAUUUCCCACAAGUUAUUCAAGCCUGAAAUUUGAGAUUUUUUUUUUAAAUUCUAACACAAUGAUAUGACUACUAUAAUAAUGAUAAGUCCAGAGUUCGAAUCUUAAUUUAUACAUUUUUACUUAAAUUUACCUGAUAAUAUAUUAUAUGAAUCUAAUAUAUCAUCUGAAGAUUGACAGUUUUACAUCUAUAAAGAGGUAUCUUCAAAAUAAACUUUGCAUACUUUUCAAGAUAAACUUUGAAUAAUUCAUCCAUUUUAAUUUUCAAGAUAAACUUUGCAUACUUUUCAAGAUAAACUUUGAAUAAUUCAUCCAUUUUAAUUUUCAAGAUAAACUGAAAAAAAUCAUUAAAAUAAAUAAAAUCAUAAAACCGAUUUUUUUUAAUUUAUGCACAAAAAAAAAAUUUUAAGGUAAAAAUCCAAAACAAAUUUAAAAGAGUAAUGGUUUGUCAAACCAAAUAUUAGUCUUCCAAAAUUGUAAAAUAUUUCCCACAAGUUAUUCAAAUGAAAGGAGCAAGCCUGAAAUUUGAAUGGCUACUAAUAUUCAAGCCUGAAAUUUGAGAAUUUUUUUUUUAAAUUCUAACACAAUGAUGUGACUACUAUAAUAAUGAUAAGUUCAGAGUUCGAAUUUUAAUUUGUACAUUUUUACUUAAAUUUACCUGAUAAUAUAUUAUAUGAAUCUGAUAUAUCAUCUGAAGAUUGACAGUUUUACAUCUAUAAAGAGGUAUCUUCAAAAUAAACUUUGCAUACUUUUCAAGAUAAACUUUGUGUAAUUCAUCCAUUUUAAUUUUCAAGAUAAACUUUGCAUACUAUUCAAAUAAAAUAUCAUGAAUAAUUCAAUAUUGACAGGGAAUCAAGUGAGAAAAAAAUCAUUAAAAUAAAUAAAAUCAUAAAACCGAUUUUUUUUAAUUUAUGCACAAAAAAAAAAAUUAAGGUAAAAAUCCAAAACAAAUUUAAAAGAGUAAUGGUUUGUCAAACCAAAUAUAAAAGAGUUGCGACCCACAUCAUUGUAAAUACCUGCAUUAAACUGAGAUGUGUGAAACUUUUACUGUUCACAAGCUUCUGCCUAAAACGUAAGAAUAUAGAAUAUGCAAACUUUAGAGUAGUUAAUAAUACAAGCCAAUGUUAAUCAUAUGUUUAAAAAGAAAUUAAUUUAACAGAUUGAAUAAAAAGGCUCUCUGACGUUAUUGAAUGGCCAUAAAACAAUGAAAAAUGGAUGUAGACAAAGGAUCCUUGGUGUAUUCCGUUGACACUUUUGUAAACUGAGCCUCCUUUCAACAAUCAGGAUUUACAUGCAGCAAUUCGAUUAUCAUCGAAUGCCAACUGCUUUGACAAUAUGCUUUUACACAUCCUACAUUGGCGAUGACUGGUGUCGGUUGAUUUCCCUACUGAGAUGAAAAGCUGAAAAACAUUCCUACGAAUGAUAGUGUCCAUCUUGAAAAGGAAGGUGGACGAACACCCAGAGAAUUGGGCGGACAAGAUCCCCGAGACCAUGUGGGCGUAUCGCACGACCAUCCGAACCCCCACAGGCCAGACACCGUUCGCCCUCGCAUUCGGAAUCAAGGCAGUCGCACCAGCCGAACUUGUAUGGCCAACGGCUCGAAUCGAGCAGUUCCAGCCAGGAGCGAACAACCAAGCACUGCUCUUAGAGAACGAGUGUCUGGAGCACCGAAGAGAGGAGGCGUCCAUCAGGGACCUCACGUAUAAGCGAAGGGUGGCGAGGUAACACAACGAGAGCUAGGGUAUCCGAGAAGAACCUGGCGCAGGGCGACCUCGUACUAAGAAACGUCAAAGUGAUCGACGGGGGUGGAUCAGACGAAGGGGAAGCUAUCGGCAAGAUGGGAAGGCCCGUACGUCAUCAUGGACGAAAUUCACCCGGGCAUCUUCCGCCUAGAAUACGAAGAUGGGCAGGAGAUAGAAAGGACGUGGCACGCCGACAACCUAGAAAAGUAUAGGCGGUGAGGACCGGGGCACCACGCGGGUUCUAUCUUUCUUUUGAUUUUGUUUCUCCCUUUGUAUGUAACAUAUCCGACCACGGCACAUGAUGCCUAAUGAAAUGCACCCAGAGUGCCCCCAUUAAUCAAAAAGCACCCGACUUCCAGACUAAGAGCAAAGAAGUAAAAAAAGGGAGCCCGCCGAAAAGGCCAGCAGAAGGUUCCCAAGGUCGGAAGACCGUGCGGGAACGUUCGAACGGCCCAGGCCGCUCCUCGAAGGAAAACGCGCAAUAAGUAAGAAUGGGAAAACGAUACAUUGUGAAAAAGAAAAAAACUCUAAGUGUCGAAAAGGGAGGCAACGCCCGAUCCCCCGUGGCAUAGGCGAGUUGGGAACGAAGGAGCAAAAACAAGGGGGCCCGUUGAAAAGGCCAGCCGAGGUUUCCCGAGGUCGGAAGACCGCGUGGGAGCGCUCGGACAGCCCAGGCCGCCCCCCGAAGGGAAACAUACAACGAGUAGGACAACGAAAAGGAUAUAUUGCGAAAGAAAGAGAAAGAGAAAACAAGCAUCCAAAAUAACGAAAAAAAUUCUAAAUGUCAGAAUGUGUUUAACGAGCGGAAAGCAAAAAAUACACGGCCGAACGAAAGACCACAACAAUCUGAAAAGGGCUCGGUGUACUCAGGGAAAUCGGCUUCGAGGUUUUCUUCUUCACCGUCACUCGCAUCCACGGUGGGCUGAUAAUUGGGGACGCCCGCAGCCUGCCAAUUCUCCCAGUCACGGACGCUUCGAGGCACGACAAGAUCCUCAAGGGGGGAUGAAUGAGGGCACACAUCUUCCGCCUUUCCAUAAGCUGGCGCGUUUUGAGUCUUGGAGCUGAGUCGUAUGAUCUGAUUUCAUCUCCUCCAGACACUCCUCGAAGGUGGGCACGAAUGACGCCACGAAUUCGUCUUGGGCAGCAGUCACGGCGGAAUGAAGGGCAGCUUUGGCUGCGACGGCACGGUCUCUUUCCUCCUAGGCUGCUUUCGAAGCCUCCGCAACCAGCUGAUCCUGCUCCCGCAUGACGGCAUCCCAUUGCGCUGACAUAUCGUCGACCUGUGCGCACAGAUUUUGGAUCUCUUCGUCUUGGCAGAGGCCAUGCUGCAAACGGACCUUGGUGAGAACCGAGAGCUGGAGCAUCUGGUGAUUGAGGUCACGGUCGAUAUCCGAAGGGGCGCGAUUGAGCUGCCGUACGUACUCCUCUUCCGUCCGCAGCCAGGAGUCGAUGGACGAGAGUUUCUUCUUAAAAAUCCCACCGAGGCGGGGCACGAAGGAGGAGGGGUCGACGCCGGCAGCGAACUCGGACGAGUGCUCGCAAUUCUUCACGAACACAUAGAAGAGGUCGGGAUUCAGCCCAUCCUUCAGAAGAGUGGCUUGAAGGUCGUCAGACAGGACGACAGGUCAGGACCGGGGUAGACGCGGUCUCGAACUCCUCAAAUUUCUUUUUCUCAGCCUGAAUCUUCUUCCUUCUCCGUUUUUCAGCCCGGUGGUCUUCAAUUGCAAUGUCGGCCUCAACAUCGGGCUCGUCUUCGGGAUCUCGAGGCGGGGGCGACGGAGGGUGGAACUAGACUUCAAGGGCCCUCUUCUUGUGCGAGCGCUUGGGCGGAUCGUCCCGAGUAUAAUCCACUUCAACUCCAUAUGCUCCGAGUAGCUCCAGGACUGAGCCAACGUCCGAGCAUUCAUGCCCCCACGGCGAUAGAUGUUGAUCAACACUUCGUUCGCAUUUCUCUGCGUCAGAUAAAAAACAAAAAAAAUAACAACAAGUUACAAGUGCGACAGAUAAAAAACAUAGAGAGCGUCAGGGCAUCUCGGGCGCCACACCCACAAAAGCGAGCCCACCAGCCGAGGAGGCACGGGAGUGGGCACGGAUCGCACCAGGGCGGGCCUAACGGCCCGGCUUCAGGGACCCCGACAAGAAAUGGCGCAGGUCAGUAGCCGGAAGGGACGAGGACCCACGGGAGCGCGCGGUGGCCACGCGACUGACGGCGACGGCCAGUAGCCUCAGCAGGAGAAGCCGCAGGAACUGCGAUCGUGAUGUUAGCAUGGAAGGUGUCCGAGGAUCCACGGGAGCCCGAAGCGGCGGCAGGAGCGGCGUCAGGGGGUUCGACAGCAUACCGGCUCGCAAGGAGGUCAGAGCGGCAAUACUGAAAGAGACGGCGGUGGACGUCGAUCAGCACAGCGUUGAGACGUUGGGUCUCUGCCACGUCCACGUGGUUAGGGACGCCGGCGGGCGACAGCAGGCACAUGGCCCACGCGGUGUGCUGAAGCUGCACUUCACGGCCAUACUCUUCAAGGACAUCCUGAAUGUUCAUCACGAAAGAAGGAAAGAAUGAGAAACCAAUGUAGCAAACACCCUAUUUAUAGGAGGGAAGAAAAAGGGAGCAGCUCGAACCUCGAGGAGUCUUUAAGGCUAAUAAAGAGGAGAGGUUGAAGGCCAGGUACGGACGGGAGGUCCCCGGGCUCCGGCCCCUGAGGAGAGGGGGGAAGUAUUGUUGGUACCAUGGACGGCCCCAACGGUUGAUAGACCGAACGAAUAGCCUUCAAGGCCCAGGCGCACAAAUGGGCCCGAAGGAGCAAGUGGGCCGGAGAACCCAUGAGGCCCAGGAGCAAGCAAGAAACACUAUAAAUACCUCCCCUAGUCCAUUAGGGGUCAAGGAGGGGCACUUUCUGGGCUUCCGAAUCACACCCUAGGGGAUCAAGCCAAGGGGAUAAAAGGUCGAGGCCGUCAUGGCCAUGAGCCCACCACGGACGCUGAAAGAAGUCCAGAAGCUGAACAGAAGGGUGACGGCGUUAAGCAGGUUCCUGCCGAGGACGGCGGACCGCUUACGACCGUUCUUCCAAUUGUUGAGGAACCCAGGACCCAAGGUAGUUUGGUCGGACGAAUGCGAGGCGGCCUUCAAGGAACUCAAGCUCCAGCUCUCGAGCCUGCCAAUGCUCCGCCCCCCAGUGAGGGGGAACCUCUUACCAUGUACGUGGCUUGCUCGGACUCGGCCGUCAGCACGGUACUUAUCUCGGAGGCGGAAGGCGGACAGAGGCCAGUAUAUUAUCACUCCCGGUCGCUGCUGGGAGCGGAGGAGAGAUACCCAGAAAUCGAAAGACUGGCCCUAGCGGUGGUCUCGGCAGUCCGGAGGUUGAAACCAUACUUUCACGCCCACACCGUCACGAUCCAAACGGCCUACCCGCUGCUCCAGCUGCUGCAAAAGCCGGACGUCUCGGGAAGACUGACCAAAUGGGCCAUGGAACUUAGCGAAUUCCACUAGUCAUCGUUCCAGCAAGGGCGGUUAAGGGGAAGGCAGUGGCGGACUUCAUGGCCGAGCUAGCCCCGAGGGACGGCGAGAAGACAGACGAGCAGUGGUGGACAACCCAUGUGGACGGGUCGUCCAACAACACAGGCUGCGGCGCGGGGGUCGUGGUAAAAACCCCGACGGGGGAAAAGAUCGAGUAUUCGAUCCAUUUUGAGUUCUGGGCAACCAAUAACGCAACGGAAUACGAAGCCCUCCUAUCGGGAGUCAGGCUAACGCGCGCGUUGGGCGCGUCCAGGGUGCACUUCCACACGGACUCCCGGCUGGUAGCCAACCAAGUCAGAGGGGACUUCGUAUCUAAGAAAGACUCAAUGGCGAGCUAUGUGACCGAAGCAAGAGCGGCCCUGGGCAAGCUCGAAGAAUGGAAGAUCUCCCAGAUAGGGAGAGAGAGCAACGGGGAGGCCGACACGCUGGCCAAGCUGAGAGCGUCCCCAGGAAAAACAGAAGGAAGGUAGAUCCGAAUCGAGAACCAGGAGCGGCCAACGACAGCCAGCAGUCCCAAGUCGACCGGGGUGUGCGGCAUAAUAACGUCGGGGGAUUGGAGAACACCAAUCAGGAGAUUCAUCGAGGCAGGCGAAGUGCCAGCGGAUCCGAUGGAGGCCAGGAAGCUAAGAAACAGAGCAGCCUGGUUCGUGGUGGCCCAAAGCAGGCUAUACCGACGAUCAGCGGCGGAGGAGGCCCCCCUGCGACUGUGCGUCUUGCGGGAGGACGGGAAAGCCAUCGCACGAAGCCUUCACGAAGGGGCAAGCGGAGCGCACCAAGGCGGAAGAGCGUUGGAAAAGUAGGUAGCCAGGCAAGGCUACUACUGGCCCGAAUCAAUAAAGGAUUCGGAGGAGAUCGUCGACCGGUGCGACGAAUGUCAGAGGCACUCGAACGUCCAGAGGCGGCCGUCCACCAUGAUGAAGGCCGUAGCAACACCGGUCCCAUUCGCAAGGGGAUUGACAUAGUCGGGCUGUUCCCGCCGGCGUCAAGAGAAAGGAAGUUCCUAUUUAUAGCGGUCGACUAUUUCACAAAGUGGGCCGAGGCGGAGGCCACGAACACAAUCAAUGAACAAAACGUGGUAAACUUCGUCUUCAGAAGCAUCGUCUCCCGGUUCGGGGUCCCGAUCCAGAUAGUAACGGAUAACGGGACGCAGUUCACGGGCAAGAAGUUAAGAGAAUUCUGCGAAGACAGUGGAAUCAAGCUGAGCUUCGCGCCAGUAUACCACCCGCAGGUGAACGGGCAAGUGGAGGUCACGAACCGGACGAUAACAUCGAUCCUGAAGAGGAAAGUGGGCGAACACCCGGGGAACUGGGCGGACCUAAUUCCCGAGACUAUGUGGGCAUACCGCACGACCAUCCGAACCCCCACGGGCCAGACCCCAUUCGUCCUCGCUUUCGGGGUGGAGGCGAUAGCACCGGCCGAAUUGGUAUGGCCGACCGCGCAUAUCGAGCAAUACCAACCAGGGGCGAACGAUCAAGCGAUGUUCCUAGAAAGGGAGCACCUAGAGGGCCGGAUAGAGGAGGCGUCCAUCAGGGACCUCACUUACAAACGAAGGGCGGCGAGGUAUCACAACGAAAGAGUGGCCGACAAGAACCUGGCGUCAGGUUAUCUGGUGUUGAGAAACGCCAAAAUAACAGGAAUCGACCAGACAAAUGGGAAGUUGUCGGCAAGAUGGGAAGGCCCGUACGUCAUCAUGGACGAAAUUCACCCAGGCAUCUUCCGCCUAAGAUAUGAGGAUGGGCAAGAAAUCGAAAGAACGUGGCACGCCGACAACCUGGAAAAGUACAGGCGGUGAAGCAACGUGUCCGAGACCGGCGAAAGAGUUCUUUUUCUUUUUUCUUCCUUGUCUCGUUUCCCCCCUUCCCAUGUAACGUCGGGCACCCCCCCGACCACGGCACGCGAUGCCCAGUAAAACGCACCCGGAGUGCACCCAUUGUAAAAGGAAAAAAUGAGAAGUAAAAAAUUGGGGGAGCCCGCCGAAAAGGCUAACGGAAAGCUCUCAGGGUCAGGAGACCGCAUGAGACCAUCCGGAUGGCCCAGGCCGCUCCCUCAAAAAAUGGAAAAAACGCAAUAAGUAAGAACGCGAAAGCGAUAUGUUGCGAGGCAAGGAAAAAGCAGGGGAGCCGCCGAAAAGGCUAACGGAAAGUCCUAAGAGCCAAAAGGCUGCAUGGGAACGUCCGAAUGGCCUAGGCCGCUCCUCCCAAGAAAGAAAGCAAUUGAAGUAAGAGAGAAGUUUAGCGUGGAAAAGGACCGGCCGGGACGUUCCUAGCCAGCAAGCUACGCAGAGCACCUAAACGAGCGACAACGCCACCCAGAAAGGACAGGGGCGGUGAGUAAACGAACGCGGAAGGAGAAAAGGUCAGAAGAAGAAGAACAGAGGGCGAUUGAAUACAUUCAAGAUUUACGAAUGAAUAUAAAAACGAAAAAAAGUUAAGUGUUUUUACAUUACAAAGAAAAAGAAGAAAAUAAAAACUGUUCAGGGACGAACGAAGGGUAUUCGAGGGGAGGCUCGGUGUAAUCAGGAAAGUCGGCCUCAAGGUCCUGCUCCUCGCUUUUGCUCACGUCCAGGGGAGGCUGGUAGGAGGGGACGCUCGUUUUUCUCCAUUCUUCCCAAUCUCGGCGGCUCCGGAGCACGACGCCGUACGAAAGGGGCGAGUAGACGAGUUCACACAUCCGGCGCCCGUGCUGAUAGCCCUUCCAGAAGCCGGCACGUUUGGAGUCCUUCAUCAAGAUGGCGUGGUCCUGCUUCAGCUCCGCCAAACGGUCUUCGAAGGUUAGAACAAAGCCCUUAAUGAACUCGUCCUGAGCCACAGCCACGGCGGCGACAAGAGCGUCCUUCGCAACAGUGGCCCGAACCUUCUCCUCCGCGGCAGCCCGGCAAACAUCAGCGGCCAGAAGGUCCCGUUCACGCACGACCGCCUCCAGCUGACCCUUCACCGCGGCAAGCUCGGCGUGCAUCUGCUGAACCUCCUCGUUCUACCGAAGACCCUGCUCCAACCGAACCUUGGUGAGAACCGAAAGUUGAAGCAUCUUGUGGUGCAGGUCGCGGUCGAGGUCCGACGUUGGGCGCGAAAGCAGCCGAACGUACUCAUCCUCCGGCUCCAACCAGGAAUCAAUGUCGGGGAGUUUUUUCUUGAAAAUCCCGUCGAGACGGGGCAGGGAGGACGCAGAGUCGACGGGAGCGGAGAAGUCCAUCGAGUGUUCAAUGCUCCGUACGAAGGAGCGGAAGUGUUCAGGAUCCAAUCCAUCUUUCCGGAGAGAAUCCAGAAGCUCGGCAGACAGGGGGUCAGAGCGGCUGGGUUCAGAGGAGCCUAUGUUUUCCACCACGACCGCGCAUCUCCAGGGCAUCGGCGACAGACUUUCGUUUCGCGGACCAAAUCUUUUUCCGUCGUCGUCGUUCGGCCCGGCUGUCUCGAAGGCCAGUGUCAGACUCGGCCGGGACGUCACCCUCGGCUCCGAGAUCGCACGAAGGCGGGGACUCAAACUGAAUGGCGUCGUGCGGCCGUUUCUGUUUCUGACGUUUGGGCGGCCCGUCCCGAGCGUAAGAUGUCUUGACGGGCAGAGCCAGGUGUGCGUCAUAACUCCACGACUGGGCCAGUGUCCGGGCGUUGACGGCCCCGCGGCGAUAGAUCUCGGUAAAAACCUCAUGGGCGCAUAAUGCCUGGGGCGCCAACGCGUCUCGGCCAGGGGCGGCGGUCCGAGUCUUCAGCUGGGUCAGCAGAGCCCAGCGAGAGGGGAGAGGCGCCUCCGGAUCUGACGGACCAAGGGCGCCCACGGGGACGAAGAAGAACCGGUCCCGCCAGUGGUGUGAUCGGUCGACCAGUUGGUCGAAGAGGGCACCGGCCGAUCUUCGCCAGAGCAUCCCGGAUCACGUCGGCUCCAACCGUGGAUAGAGGGUUCUUGCUGGAGGGGGCGGCAAAAAACGAUUCUGCAAGAGCAGCGCCGGCGUCAGAGCGAGAAGCGGCAGCGGAGCCAGCGGCAGAGGGAGGAGGAGCAGCCAUUAGCAACCUGGUGAAGGAAGGGAGUCGGAGUCGAGGAAGACGAAAAGCGAGGUGAGAGGAAAUGAAAAUCAGUCGCGAGUGAAGAAGGGGAGCAGGGUUUAUAUAAGGGUUCGAGGGCGCGGAAGACGAGGCGUCGCUUACCUGGAACGGAUGGGACCGGUUGGGCCGGGAGGCCUCCGAGGGAGCCCAAGGUCCUGUCCGUCGGGAAGCAGAGUGAAGGUCAGCGCCCGUCGCGGACGGCAAGGCGUUGGAGAGACGCCCGGCGAAGACCCGGCGGCGUCCAGCGACCAAACAAUGCGCGCGGAGCGAGGCGGCAGUGUCCAAGCAGGCCCACCGGCGGGCCCGACCAAUGGAUCGAACGAAACGACGUAACGGGCGAGCCCCCGCGUCGGCGAAGGGGGGACCCGCGGUGGGGAGCGAGGGCAGAGCUCAAGAAGGGCCCGGGCAACGUCGGCAGAAGACGCCGAAUAGCGCAAAGCUGCACCAACGUGCGAAGGCGAAGUCAAAACACGAGAGAAAGAAAAAGCGAAGGAAAAGCAUGUAUUAAAGCAAAGCAAGUGUUACAAUAGCCGGUGGCACGGAGGGAGAACAAAACAUAACAACAACGAAGUACGGGUACAGAAAAAAAGAGGAAAAGGGAUCGCCGGGACGUCCCAGACGUCGCCCCACGAAGGCAAACCCAUAGCCUGAAAAGGCGUGGGAGCGAUUGCGGAUAGCUCCACGAUGGGCCUAGCGGGCCGGCUUCGAUGACCCCGACAGGAAGUGGCGCAGGUCAGUAGCCGGAAGGGACGAAGACCCACGGGAGCGGCGAGGGCCGCGUGACCGACGAGGCUUUCUCAAAAAAUCGGCAGCAGCAGCGACAGCAGGAACGGCGAUCGUACCAUGCGCGUUGAAGGCGCGCGAGGUACCAACGGAGCCCGGGACGGCGGCAGGAGAGGCAUCGGGGUAGGCGACGGCAGGAGGGCUCGCGAGGAGGUCGGAGCGGCGAACCUGGGAGAGGCGACGGUGGACGUCGAUCUGCAAAGCGUUGAGACGUUGAGUCUCAGCCACGGUCACGCUAUUAAGGACGCCAGCGGGCGACAACAGGCACAUGGCCCAGGCGGCGUGCUGAAGUUGCACUUCGCGGCCGUACUCCUCGAGGAUGUUUUGAACACUCAUGGCGAAGGAAGGAUGGUGUGAGAAGUCGAAGAGGCGAGUGGGCUAUUUAUAGGAAGGAGAAGAGGGAGCGGCUCGAACAUCGAGGAGCUUUAAAGGAGAUGGUUGUAGGCGGGGCGAGGACGGGCGGCCCCUGGGCCCGGGCCCGUCGAGGAAGGGGGGAGUACUGUUGGUACCAUGGACCGCGGACCGCGGCCCAUGGACCGAACUGGGCCGAUCGGCGGCUCGGGCGAACGGGCGGGCCCAACGUACGAGCCCACGAGGCCCUAAGGACAGCAGUGGAAGGCUAUAAAUACCUCCCCUGGUUCAAUAGGGGAGGCGGUUGAUAAUUCUAAGAGUGAUACUUGUACUAAGGUUGGACGGCGAGCUUACUCCGGCGAGCCCACACACCAACAUGUGUAUAUAUAUAUAUAACCGAAUAGCUCAUUAAUUGGGUUUAAUCCAUCUAAUUUAAUUAACCCACCAACUUAAUUUUUUUUUAAGGCGAUUUUUAUAAAAUAAAAUUAAAAGAGUACAAAGGAUAAAAAAAACAUAAUGAUAAACGAAAAAAAACUGAAAACAUAGCGUGAAUCUCCAUCGUGUCUAUCUAUGACUAGCUUCGGAUCGUGUUUUCAGUUGAAAUAACUCAUGCCUGAAACUUUUAGAACCUUUAGAGAGUUUCAAUACUUGUCUUCACUUGUCUUCAUCUUUUUCUAUCCCUGCAACUGUCAUCUUUUUCUUCAAUCAUCUUUCCCAUCUAGUAACACAUCACAUUUCCUCUUCCAUUUCCUAGAUUGCAUUUGUCAUCUAACGAUAUAACCUCCUGAUUUCCCUUCUAGAUUAAAUCCCUAGUUUUUCAUCCUCAAACGGGAAGAAAAUUGGUUAAAUCUGAAAGUAACUCAGAACGAAAUCGAAAAAGCUUCUUGAUCUGCGGGCGAGGCCAUACAGCGACAAGGAGAAGUGGCGAGAAGUUUUCUUUCCCUCCUCUGCACCCGAAAAGGAGCAACGGAAUCACGAUCAUAAAAGAAAUGAGAAAAAAUCGAAUAAGUUUCAGGAGGCAAAAAACAAGUGGAGAGAUAAGGAGUUGCGGGUGAGGAUCUAAGACGACGAUCUACAAUGGAGAAGGAAAACGGUGAAAAAAGGGAAGAAGAAAAAGCUUGUCUCCCCCCCCCCUCUCUUUUGAGAAAGGAACCCACCAACUUAAUUAUUAUCGAUUCAACUUUGUAGUUAUAUAUGAUUCAAUAAAAAAAUAUAAUAAUAAAAAUGAUUGCUAUAACAAUUUUUUGAUGGAGAAAAUGAGGAAAUUUUUAGGCCAAAACCACACACAAUAUAUAUACUAGUAUUAAAUAUUUAAUUUGUAGGAAAUACAGGUAUCAAUAUGAGUGGAUGUUUCCUACAUAAAGUUCCUUUAACACAUUCAGUCAUGUCAAGCUCUUCUCCCGGCACACCGUCUGGUAUCUUCCAAUUGAAAUGAUAUAGAAUGGUAGCAAGAAAAAGUUCAACAUUAGCUAGGGCAAAUGUUAUACCAGGACAAAUUCUUUUUCCAGAACCAAAUGGAAUUAAAUCAAAGUGGGAUCCUUUGAAAUCUAUUGGAUUUCCCAUGAACCUCUCUGGUUUGAAUACUUCUGGAUUUUCCCAUUUGUUUGGAUCUCGUCCUAUCGCCCAAGCAUUCACAAGGAUGCUUGUCUUUUCUUCUACAUCAUAAUCAUUUAUUUGACAUUUCUCCCUACAUUCAUGAGCGAGAAGUGGCACAGGUGGAUGGAGCCUCAAGGUUUCUUUGAUGACGUUUUGCAUGUAGCUCAUUUCCUUGCUAAAAGAAUUAUCAUAAUCAUCAGCUUCUGUACCGAUUAUUUUAAAGGUUUUUCUCACCUCAAAUGUCACUUUCUUCAUGGUUUCUGGAUUUUUCACCAACUCAGAUAUUACCCAUUCUAGUGUUGUGGAAGUUGUUUCUGUUCCCGCAAUAAAAAUGUCCUAAAAAUACCAAUUGAAAAAUGAUUUAUGGAGUUUCAAGGAAAUACGUACAUAUAGAUCGACUUUAAUUUUGAGUUAUAAAAAAUGAUCAACUUACCAACAAUACCGCCUUCAAAUUAUUCAUAGUAAAUUCAAAGCCAGAUUCAUUUUUCUUUUGAAUUUUGAGAAGAAUAUCAAGAAAAUCUUCAUCAUCAUCUGCUACCCCAUUUUUGUUAUUUUUUGAUUUCUCAAGAUGUUCAUCUACGACUGUGUUUAGAAUAUGAUCAUUUGUCCUAUACGUCUUUUCCGCUCUUUUCCUCAAACCAGUCAACCAAACGAUGAAUUUCUCCACAGCAGGAAAGUAAUUAGAAAUGUUGAAACCAAGUAUAAGAUCAAUAGAUUCCUUCAUCGAAAUCAGAAAUGCGUCCUUGUGUCUAAGGUUAUUGCCAAACCCAGAACGACUGGUAAAGUUGUUGUUGAGAGAAAGAAACAUUUCACUCAGAUUAACUGGGGUACCGUUGGUUGCAGCUUUUGUAAGGAAUCCCACAAUUUUGCAUACUUCUUCUCUUCUCAAUCUGUUAAAAGACUUCACUUUUCUAGCACUGAGAAGCUCAAGAGUGGCGAUCUUUCUCAUCUGCCUCCAGUAUUCUCCAUAAGGUGCUAGCAAAAUAUUGGUAUUAUUGUACAAAAGAAUUCUAGAUGUGAAAGAAUCUGGCCGAGAUGCAAAGUUUGCAUCAUGAGUCUUAAGGAAUUCCUUUGCAACAUCUGGUGAAGAGACAAUGAUAUGUGGAAUCUGACCGAAUUGUAGGUGCAUGAACGGACCGUGCUUCUUGGCAAGAUCUCGGAAGACUCGAGGAAUGUGGUCGUCGCCUGAAAGAAGUAUGUUGUGAAGAUUGCCAAUGAUGGGAAGCUUAGUUGGUCCUGGUGGUAGUCUUUUGGAGUUUUUCAUCUUAAAUAGAAUGAAAAUCCCCAAUGGUAAGAACAAAGAGAAAACUAAUGACCAUGAUGGGAAUUGAAGCUCCA